GCGUCUGUAGUGUAACGGUUAUCAUCAUUGCCUGUAAGUUGCAAAACUACAAUAAAUACACCACAGCAGACCUCAGUUCUAACUCGAAUCCUCUAGUCCAAGCAAUAGACCCGGGUUCGACUCCCGGCGGACGCA
rnacentral:tRNA from 1 species